rnacentral:rRNA from 1 species
GUGUAAACUAGGAUUAGAUACCCUAUUAUUUUAAAUUUAAUUAAUAAUACUAAAAUAGUAGAUAAUAAAUAUUGAAACUUAAAUAAUAUGGCGGUAUUUUAGUUCAUUUAGAGGAAUCUGUCUUAUAAUUGAUAAUCCACGAAUAAAUUUACUUAAUUUAAUAUCUUAUAUAUCGUUGUUAGAAAAAUAUUUUAAAAUAAAAAUAAUAUUUAAAAAUUUUAAAAAAAAAAUUAAUUCAGAUCAAGAUGUAGAAUAUAAUUAAGAAAAUGAUGGAUUACAAUAAAAUAAUUUAAUACGAAUAAUUUUAUUAUAAUAUAAAAAUUGAAGCGUGCGAUUUAAAUGUAAUUUUAAUUAAUUUAUAUAAUGAUUGCGUUCUGAG